CCUCUCGUGGUGUAGGGGUAGCGCGCCCUAUCUAUUGAGCAGGGAGUCGUGAGUUAGAUUCUCACCGAGAAGA
rfam:Aedes aegypti strain Liverpool supercont1.368 genomic scaffold, whole genome shotgun sequence.